rnacentral:rRNA from 1 species
AUUGAACGCUGGCGGCAUGCCUUACACAUGCAAGUCGAACGGCAGCACGGGAGCAAUCCUGGUGGCGAGUGGCGAACGGGUGAGUAAUAUAUCGGAACGUGCCCAGUCGUGGGGGAUAACGCAGCGAAAGCUGUGCUAAUACUGCAUACGAUCUAAGGAUGAAAGCGGGGGAUCGCAAGACCUCGCGCGAUUGGAGCGGCCGAUAUCAGAUUAGCUAGUUGGUGGGGUAAAGGCCCACCAAGGCGACGAUCUGUAGCUGGUCUGAGAGGACGACCAGCCACACUGGAACUGAGACACGGUCCAGACUCCUACGGGAGGCAGCAGUGGGGAAUUUUGGACAAUGGGCGCAAGCCUGAUCCAGCAAUGCCGCGUGCAGGAUGAAGGCCUUCGGGUUGUAAACUGCUUUUGUACGGAACGAAACGGCCCUUUCUAAUACAGGGGGCUAAUGACGGUACCGUAAGAAUAAGCACCGGCUAACUACGUGCCAGCCGCCGCGGUAAAAC